rnacentral:rRNA from 1 species
GCAAGGGCAGGAAAAGGGAAGGGAAGGGAAGGGCAAGUGUCUGUGUGUGCGUGCGCGUGUGCGUCUGCUCUCGCAACCUGUCUCUCGCUCUCUGGCACUGUACAGCCGCCAAUCGACCUCGUAAGGCCGCUAGGGCGCCCGCCAGGGCGGCCGCUCCAGGCCGGGCGGGCCCCUCCGGAAGGACCACCGGCGCGCGGGCGCCCGCCGGGCUAGGGCACGGCGAGGGUCCUCUCAGUCCGAGCGGGCCCCGCCGCAGCAGCAGCGGGUGCGGCCGCGCCGCCUCCACGGGCAGCGACUAAGGCCUCUCCGGCGCCACCAGAAGAGGCUCUUCAAGGGGGAGGCGGCUACGGUUUGACACCUUCCCUUCCGCACCCACUCUCACCUCCGCCUCGGCCUACGCCUGCCGUUCACGUUCUAGCAGUAGCCCACGCUGCAUCUCCCCUUCACCGACGACGUGACCCCACAGAGGAUGGUGCCACUCUGGCCGUCACUUACCCUAGUUGGAGGAAGCCUUUAAUCUGGAGGGCCAAGCCAAGGUUAGUUCCUGAGACGCUAACUUUGUGGUAACCUCUGAAGUGGGUUAAGUCUUCCUGUAUAUGAAGUACUUCACGUUUAGUUUAAACUAUUCCUGUGAGGUCAACGGCGAUAGUUAAAACAAGAGUUCCUUCUCCCUUGUCCACGUACCAAAGUUGUAUUCCCACCCCUAAAGUCUUAUGGGAAUUCACCCAGGGAGUUCCUACCUCUAGGCAAUCCUCGUUUUGUUCCUCACUUUGGACUUCCUAGAUUACGAGUCGAUUUUCUUCGUCAAGGACCCCUUUUUCCAGGUUCGUGUUUUACGUAAAGUCUCAAGAUACUCCUUAUAGGGUAGAAUUUUAGUCUCAUAAAACUCGUAAAACAUAGACAACGACACUGCCUCUUGUCACUUUGUCUAUUUUCAGAGCACCUUAAGAUAUGACUGUAAUGACCUCUACAAUAGUAAGUAACCCCUCAAACGUUUCCGUUAUGGUACUGAACCCUCUAGGGUGGUCUUGGCGUAGGUGGUUUGUGCUUCUAGAAGGCUGUCUUUCGAGAAGUCUGGAACGAUCUCGUUUUUUGACUACCAUGUCCGUCGCGACAUAGUAAGGAUGACCUACGUCUGAUGAGCCCAGAACAAAAGCACGAGUUUGAAUUACUCGUAUGAACCAACUCUUUAGACCUCUUACCUAAACUAAAGAUAUAAGGAGAAUGCUCCCACCUCGUUAAACCGUCGUGAGUUCUCGGAGUAUCCCGACCACUUGUAUUUGAACUACUAUUCAGACGCGUUUGACUACCGGAUUAGUCGCUAUAUUCUUUAGACCACCAACCGGACAGCAGAUCUUCUCCAGUUGCUCGUUUCUUGUUUCAAGACGUUCUUCUAUAAGAUGUUCUUUAACUCUCCAAUCGUCGACUUCGUAUAUCGUAAAAAUCCUCGGGGUGAUAACUACGGUAUCUUCUGGGACAAAUGUAGCUACUGGGUCUUUCACACUUCGGUCGAACAAGACCGUGACCUAGACCUAAGCUUUAUCACACGGUUCCUAAAUUGACCCUCAGUGUAUUCAGUCCUUUCACCAUACAACUUGAACCAUGUUUCCGGUUCCUCAACAGUAGGGACCCAAAGUGGUAACAAACCAGUGGUGGUGGAUGACUAAGACAUAGUGGACUUCCUAUGUACGGUUCCCUAAAUAUGUUGGAUUUAAGGUCUAUACCUUGGUACCGUCUCAACUUCGUCGAACACCUAUAAAAAGUACUUUUACCACACUUCCAAGAACCGCUACGACAAGAUUUAGUGUCUACACGAGUCAAAGUCUUAGUUUUGCCCUAGACCUUAUAAAAACCACCCGCAUACUUGACCCUACUGGCUCGCCAGCAACGACUACUAGGUGUAAAGGUCCCUUCUCCUUUGUUUUCGUCACCUCUAUUGAAGGUACGACGUGGUUUGUAGCUAGUGAGUGUUCUAAAACACUCUUGACUAUAAUUUCUUACCGAAGCGACCUACUCUUUCCUUCAACCUAUACUACCUACCUCUGAACUAAAACGAGCACCGAAAACCCCACCUAUACAGUUUCUAAUGUACCUUCGUUGACUUGGUAUGAAACGUCAUCCUCUCAUGACCCUGAGAGAGUCAAUAUGAAUACCACUCUACCUAAUAUUGGUCCUACGAGUGUCCGUCUCUUAACAACUGACCUAUUUACGAUGUUUGCCUUGACGACCACGUAAACUACAGUGAUGAUUCCCUUAUGAAGUAUACCGUGACCUUUCUAGACUCAUAACCGCGAACAGACUACUUUUUCCUUUUGGGGGACCUCAUAAUCCAACCACCGGAAGUGCACGUCAGUGUAAAUAUCUUUUAGUACUGUGGCCGAGAUGAGUCCCAGUAACCUCUAAAGGGAUACCAUACCUCUACGUUCCGAUACGGAUAUAGAACUGUGUAGGACCGUGAGGACGUCAGAAGAUACUAGUGUAGAAGAGUGUGAAUGUUGUUCUAUAACGGUUUAAUUACAGAUAGUCUACGGCGGAUUUCUAAGUCACGGCGUCGUUCUAGUUCUAUGAGUUCCGUCUUGUCUUAAAUAUACGGCGGCUCUAAUUACUCUUAAAUGACUACUUCUAACCGCGCCCUGUAAAACUUGGUUGACCAGGGCAUUUGACCUAACAACGUCGUCUCCCUGUACUAAUGUUUUAGACCCUUCGCCGCAGGAUCUGAAACAGCGUGGCGAUAAGUCAUAUUAAUUAGAUGAUUAUCGUAUGUCCAUCCUUCUCUACCGUAGUAAUACCUCACCGACUGAACCAGUGAUCACCACGGCUCUUUUCCGAUAACGCUACCGUCACCUUCGUAAAAGGGACGUCGUUGCGAAAUUAUACAUGCGUGAGGUUGUAAAAAACAUAGAUACACGUCUUUGUAAACGAUGACUUCCGUUUAACGGACGACGAAUAAACGUCACCAAUGGGGUGAGACAGACUAUAUACAUUCUGUCACGUAAAUGUUAUUCCAACUUCAGGUGAAACAACCUAAAUAUGUUCUUGUUUACUUCGUAUAGUACAAAAAGAUCACAUA